rnacentral:rRNA from 1 species
AGGAUGAACGCUGGCGGCGUGCCUAAUACAUGCAAGUCGAACGAGGUACUUUAGUAGCAAUACGAGAGUAUCCUAGUGGCGAACGGGUGAGUAACGCGUUGGUGACCUACCCCAAAGUGUGGGAUAACAGUCCGAAAGGAUUGCUAAUACCGCAUGUGGUCCUCAGGUUUAGAAACUGAUGACUAAAGGAGCAAUUCGCUUUGGGAGGACCUGCGUCCCAUCAGCUAGUUGGUGAGGUAAUGGCUCACCAAGGCUACGACGGGUAGGGGACCUGAGAGGGUGACCCCCCACAAUGGAACUGAAACACGGUCCAUACACCUACGGGUGGCAGCAGUAGGGAAUAUUGCCCAAUGGACGAAAGUCUAGAGGCAGCAACGCCGCGUGCACGAUGAAGGCCUUCGGGUCGUAAAGUGACUUUUCUGGGAGAUGGAGAAAGGCAGUAAUCCCGAAGGAAUAAGUCUCGGACUAACUACGUGACCAGCCAAGCCCGAC